CACACACACCAACACACACAUUCACACACACCACCCCACACUCACAUUCACACAAACACCACCACACACCAUCUCACACGCACACCACCACACACAUUCACACACACCACACAUUGACAAACACAACACAUAUUCACACACACACCACCACACACAUUCACAUUCACACACACACACCAACACACACUCACAUUCACACACACCACACACAUUCACACACCACACAUUCACACACCACACAUUCACACACACCAACACACUCACACACACACCACACACAUUCACACACACACACACACCACCACACACAUUCACACACACACCCCACCUGCUUAA
rnacentral:lncRNA from 10 species